CCAGAAAAGUUAAAGGUUAGCUUUUAAGAGCAGACUCAAAGUGUUCUGCUAGUAGGAUUACUAGUUUCAGUAAUUCUGCAAGACUGUCAAAGUGCGGGGAGUUCCUUAGAGCCUUUCCUACUGCUACUAUAAGGAAACUUGUAGUGUGCACCAGGGUAAUGACCUCGGGUAUAGUAAUAACGGAAAGGAUUGGAUAAUCCGCAGCCAAGUCCUAAGGGUAUUAUUAUUAUUAUAAUUAUUGUAAUAAUAUCUAUGGAUGCAGUUCAACGACUAGAUGUCAGUCGGUUCUAAGUAUAAUUGUAAUUACUAUUAUUACUAUUACCAUUAUUAUUAUACUUAGGGCUUAAGAUAGAGUCUGUCCCUUCAGAAAUGAAGUC
rfam:Fomitiporia mediterranea MF3/22 unplaced genomic scaffold FOMMEscaffold_1149, whole genome shotgun sequence.